UGGGGAAUAUUGCACAAUGGGCGCAAGCCUGAUGCAGCCAUGCCGCGUGUAUGAAGAAGGCCUUCGGGUUGUAAAGUACUUUCAGUCGGGAGGAAGGUGGUAAGGUUAAUAACCUUGGCAAUUGACGUUACCGACAGAAGAAGCACCGGCUAACUCCGUGCCAGUAGCCGCGGUAAUACGGAGGGUGCAAGCGUUAAUCGGAAUUACUGGGCGUAAAGCGCACGCAGGCGGUUUGUUAAGUCAGAUGUGAAAUCCCCGGGCUCAACCUGGGAACUGCAUCUGAUACUGGCAAGCUUGAGUCUCGUAGAGGGGGGUAGAAUUCCAGGUGUAGCGGUGAAAUGCGUAGAGAUCUGGAGGAAUACCGGUGGCGAAGGCGGCCCCCUGGACGAAGACUGACGCUCAGGUGCGAAAGCGUGGGGAGCAAACAGG
rnacentral:rRNA from 1 species